GUCCAGUGCCAGACAGCUUCCCAUACAGCAAAUUUCCCAUCAAGCACUGAAAGCAUGUUUUUUCUACAUCUGGAAACUGUCCUGCUCCUCACUGGUGUUUGAGUGUUGUUCUGAUAUCCUGCUGAAAAGCCUCCAACCAAAAUCAGCCAACACAAAUUAAUAAAUUACCACCAGUCAGCAGGGGCAGAGUAACUGGACGGUGUGUGUUCUUGUCCUGAUGCACCCUACACCUCAACUGAUUAGCUGUAACUCCAUAAUUAAUGUCGAGUGUCCACCUGUGUCUGCUCUCCUCACUGGUACUGCAUUCCCCAUCUCAGAGCCAAAGAAACUCAAGAGGUCCUCCAAUGAGCAAACACAUUACAUAAGCAUGAGGUGAGACUGGAGACUCUGAGAGGUAGGGAUGUUGAAAGAGCACUGAUUUAUGAGAACUGGAGCAAAGUGGUAACUGAAGCAAUAGCUCCUUUUCCAUGAUGCUGCCCUGUGUUUUGUAACCUACCUCAUGGCCACUGGAUGAUUAGGACCUUUCCUGAGUGCACGAUUUCCCUUACCCUCAGUGUUUAUGAUGGCUGGUUUCAAUUAUUCCUUUCCUUCACACUCUGUAUUUCAACCUGCCUCAGAUGAGCAAUUCAUCUACUCUAUCAAAUAACUUACCAAGAUAGAUUUCACAUGCAAGGCAAAUACAUUUUCCUUCCCCUCAUAAUUCCACAACACUGUUUUUUAGAAUUCUGUUUCUCUUGCCUGAUUCCCAGCAAACCCUUACCCAGAGUAGAGCUUUCUAAUGUGCAGAUUGGAUAUAAAAUGCCAUCAGAUAACAGUGACAUUUCCACCUACUCUGUCCUGACCCUUGUGCCACAACUUUUCCCCCAUGUUACCUGAGCUGAUAUAAAGAGUGAGGUCAGAAAACGUUGCACAGGGCUGAAACAAGACCCCACCAUGGAUUGUCAUGUCCAUGUACAUGACUGAAGUAACUGGUGCCUAUGCAGAUUUGUAUGUAGUGGUGUUCUACGUAUGCAUGUGCACAGCAUGCAUGGCCAUGACGAAUGGUGCCAUGAUGCAUGUGAAAAAGCCCAUUUUUUACACAUGUAUUCAUGCUUUGUGAACUUCUGAUAUCAAUUCAUUUAAGAAUGGAGAGAAAAUUAAGAGAUUUGGUGCAUGUAGUUGCUCAUUCUUAAUACUCUUCUGAUCUUAGCAUAGAUGGGACCUGCACAGAUGAGUGAUGAGCGCUUGGAGGGUGAUUCCGUGGUAGAAGCAUCGUGUGGGUCCCAAGUUGGGUAUGGACACUGCUAUGGCACCCAAGUGAACGGAGCCCUGUGUCAGCAAAAAGCGUGAUGAAUAUCCAGGUGAGCUCAACAAGCACUCAGCAGAAUUCAUCUGCAGCUCAUUGAGGCAACACAGAGAGAGUUCAUGGGGAGUUUAUCAUGGGAACUGCUGAGGGUUAAUGGCCAGCAGAACAGAUUGAGCUGUGGGAUUACUAAAUAAUGAACUUUUCUCUCCAAUAAAUUUGUCCCUGACUUAUAAAAAAUCAAUAACAUACUACAUUUCGGGCUUUUUUUUUCCUUUUCCUUUUGGUGACGGUGGGGAAUGUGGGCUCAGAGUAAUUUUUAAACUACUCUUUCAUAUAUAUGUAUAAAUAUAUUUUACUCUGAUCAUUUAUACAAAAGCUCAGAUGUGCCACAUUUACUGCAGCUUCAUCACCUAGAUAGAUUUUUAUGUGGGUGCCCGGCUAUUGCUUUGUUUAAUCAUUCUUUUCUCUUCCCUCCCCAGUCCCUUGCCUCCCCCUUCCCUUCCAUGCUUUUUAUGACACUAUCGCCAGCGCAGAUAUGCAGGAGGGUUUUCAUGUGAUAUAGGAUGUCGGAGAGGUCAGGUCAGCUGGGACAGAGCCAAAAAUAUUAGCACUUUCUAACUGCUGAGGAGAGAAAUUGAAAUAAUAGCACUUAUAAAUUGGCAGGUUUUCAACUGCAGGAGAAGAGAGGGAUUUUUUGCGUGUGUUUAUUUUGUUUCAGAAGUGGAGAGGAGGCGGAUCCGGUUCUUGGCCACAGAAGAGAUGUUCACUGUGCUUUGGGCUCGUGUUUGUGUUAAAUUUGGCCAGGAAGUGGUUGGUGGGCUGGUAUCUGUUCUCAGACACGCAUUUCCUGUUUUUAACCCAAUCUUUCUUCCCUCCAUCUCUGUAUGGAAAUAGAAUUAUAGAAUCAUUAAUGUUCGAAGAGACCAUUAGGAUCAUCAAGCCCAACCACAGGUCCCUCAGAUGACUGCAUAUAGCAAGUCUCCCCAAAAUACAGGAGGGACACCCAGUCCAGCUUUUCAGGGAUCUCCUGGGCUCUCUGCUUCAACAGUGAAUCACCAAGCCUUGGUGAAACCAUGGCUCUUUCAGUCACACCGUCACUGUUAGACAGCAUCAGCAAUGGAAAUCACCUCCUCUCACCAAAGCCCAAAGUGCUUUGCAGGAUCUGCCUUCCAAAACCUGCUCUCAUCUGGUCUCCGAUGCUUCACCUCAACCCAGGCACAGCUGUUACGUGUGCCAACCUGGGGAAAUCAGAAGCCAUGCAGCAAUAACUGUUAAUUGACCGAGAGCCACCUCUGCGAUGCCAACAGGAACAAAAGAACAAGCAUCUGGCUUUGCCAUCUGUGCCUGUUUAAAUGCAGCAAAAAGAAACCCUUCUCCAGAUCUCCCAGCUGGGUGGAGAGGUAACUGGAUUCAGCAGCAACGUGGAGUUGCAGGUUGGCUGGGUCUGUGGCUCCUAGUCACUCUGACAUGUGAAACCCUUUGCACGAGACAUGUUGACCUUCCCAGCCCUGGCUUUGUAGAUGAGAGCAAUGAUGGGCUCUGAUGGACGCAACUGAGCAGCCUGGAGUUAUUUCUAGUCAUGGUUGCAGUUCACUGUGAAUAAAAGUCCAGGUGUUCAGAAAUCACUCAGUGCUCAAAGUACUUGCAAGAGCUUUGAUGCACCCUUUACCUCUUUCCAUCUCACUAGGCAUGGCUAGGAGAGCUCUUCAAUGGAUCACAUGUCCUGGAAAAGGACACCUGUCUUGUGCCCCACACAUCCCAGAGGUCAUAAGGAAGGGAUCACUGGUGUUCAGACAACCUCCUCCACCAAAGUCUGCAAAACAAAUUAAAAGCAUAUCAAAUCUUCUGUUUUCCAAGGAGCUUCACAUGAUAAAAGCUGAGUCAGAGGUCUCUGGUGUGCUGGGAUCCUGAAACUUCUAGGAAGGUCAGUGUCAAAAUGCAGUACUUUCCCUUCUAGUCAGAGCACCGUUAAGCUAAAUUAUGGAAUCAUAGAAUCAUGGAAUCAGAAAAUCCUGACUUGUAAGGGACCCAUAAGGAUCAUCGAAUCCAACUCCUGGCUCCAAACUGACCUUUCCAAUGAGAAAAGGAUAGGAUUCAGCAGCUCACUUUUGAAAGACAGUUUAGUCCAAGCUACCUGAUAUUUGCAGUAGAGGAGCCAGUCCUACUGAGAAAACCAAACAAGACCAGAGCUAUGGUCUGACACCAAGUAUAAGGUUUCUCCCUAGCAAGGCUUCAUCCAGCCAGCACUUGAGGUAGCAUACAGCCUCAGCAAGAAUGAGAUCAAAUAAGAGGGUAACACAGGGGCCGUUCCUAAAAGGCAAAAUGGAGAGAGCCAUCCUGAAGGAGGGAGUGAAGAGAAGAGUCUGGCCAGGUGGUCCCAAAGAUGAGAUGAAAAUGCCAGGAACAGCCAACUAUAGAUACAGAAUUAGACAUCCUGUGAGGGAUUAAACAAAGUACGGUUUGCUGGGGAGAAUCCAAAGCCACGAUAGAUUUAUCUAAUGCAUUUCUUGCUCUCUGUAUGGUUCUGGAAGUUCAGAAAUCUUUGGGUUCAAUUAACUCUGCCACAAGCAAGCAGGAAUAAUUUGUAGGGGAUGUAAAGUCUCAAGAAGUUGAAAAGGAAGCACUUAUUUUUUUUACUGUGUGCCGUAUUUGCAAGAGAGUUCCCCAUAAGCAAAGUCUUUGGUAGCCUGAUUCAUAUGGAGAAGACUGGAGGUAUCAACCCUGAGAAAGGACAGAAACAAAAAAUAAUUAUGAGGUUGACUAAUGGUCAGUGAGUAUCAGAGCUUGUCUGUUAUGUCUAUACUGUGUUGGACAUAGGCGAGUAGGCAAGACACACACGUAGUGCAUGCUCUGUCCUGAAGGCUUAGCCAUUAUUAUUUCUCAUUUAUUUGAUUUUCUAUUUACUGUAAAGGUCACUCUACCUGUAUGUAUUGGGUGGUAUUUUGGGGUUUCUUUUGCAUGGGGGGAAAACGUAACUGAGGUCACAUUGGAUAUAAUAUUUCUUAGUGUGUACUCUAUAUUCAUACGCCCAAUGCAUGGUAAAGUAAGGCAGCAUUCUUUAAGAGAUGGAAGAAAAGCUGAUAACAGUUUGUGUUCUCUAUAUAAUUCAGGCACAACUAUCUGUCAACAGAGCAAGGUAAUUAUCCCAAUAAGAUUUCACGAAACGAGGAAAUAUCAUGGAUUUUAUAAACCUUAUUAUCAUUAAGAGUGAAUGCAAAACAACAAAAGGAGCCUUAAAACAAAAUGUUAUGUUGAAAUCAAUACUGAUUCCUUGGGAUAAGUGUUAUGAGGCAGUCAAAUUCUCUAAGAUUUCUCCCCUUACCCCCCCCCCCCCCCCAAAAAAAGAGGCUGCAGACAAACCAAGGGAGAGCAAACAGCUCUAAAGCAGCCUAAUCACUCUGCAAAUUGGGGAACGAGCAAUGCAGUGCUGAUUUUUUUCCAACAUCAGCGCGUUGCUCUAAAAAUGUCCCUCCUCCUUUUGCUCUUGUGCCCCCCCCAGCCAACAAGCCCAAAUAAUAACCCAUUACUGACGGCACCAUAACGGCGCCUUCAGGGAUGGGAUUAGAGUAAGUAUCAAUUUGGAAAUUAGCAGCCUGGUUCAACGAGCAGCGUACCAGCCCUGCAGGCAAAAGGAGAAAUCUGAAAUUUGCACACGUGCUGCCUCACGAAAUGCUGCUUUCAUUACCCCCUUCCCUCUCCCUCCACGCCAUCAUGCAGAUCAGCUGCUCCAUACAGCCUUAUCCGGCACUGCGGCUCAAAGGCAGAGAUGUUUUCCAGAGCAUGCUUGUGUGGGCCUCCAGCUGUCAGCUUUCCUCCAUCCAUCCCAAAAUGAUGCGUCCAUGGGCCACUGAGCAAAUGGGACUCAAUGCUUGUGUUCAGAUUUGUGGCAAGCGUGGGAAUUCUAAGGACACUGCUUAGUCAGCAAUAUUGGUGGCAGGUGGAUGGUUGGAUUGGAUGAUCUUAGAGGGUCUUUUCUAGCCUUAAUAAAUCUAUGAUUCUAUGAAUGGAUUCUGUUUUCCAGAGAGACCUAGACAGAGCAGUGGGUCCAUGAAAACCUCACGCAGUUCAACAAUGCAAGGUCUGCACGUAGGUCAUUGAAACCCCACUACUGAUACAAGCGAGGGGAUGUAAGGAUGGAGCGCAGCCCUGCCAAAAAGGACCUGGGGGUACUGGUGGAUGGCAGAUGGACAUGAGCCACUGCAACAGGUUGCCUAGAGACGUGGUUUUCACCCCAACAUAGAGUACGAAGCAUCAGGCCUUCCACCAGGACAGACAUCCUAUUUGUAAACACUGCUUUAUUGUAUCUUACUCUCCUCCAUAAUGCUUUUCACUCCAGCAUGGAUGAACCUUCAUGGGAGUUUUUCCAGUGUCACCCUUAAUAAUGAUAUCAUUCUCUUUUUACCAAGACACUUUGCUAGACUGGAAGACAACAGUUUCGUAUCAGUCCCUCAAGACAAGCCAGUAAUCAUCCAACAGACCAUCUCAUCUUCACUGACCAUUCCUGUGAUGGGAGUUGCUCACGUCAGAGGAGCAUUAAAGGUGAGAGGGAACCAGUGUGCAAAGACUGAACUAUGCAUCAGACGUUGGGUGCUGGUAUAGAAUCAUAGAAUCACUGAGGUUGGAAAGACCUCUAAGAUCAUCAAGUCCAACCAUCAACCCAAACCCAUCACCACCAUGCAACUAAACCACGCUAUACAUUGUGAUAUCUUCCCCUUUCUUGAUAACUUCCAAGGAUGGUGACACCACCAUCUCCCUGGGCAGCCUGUUUCAAUGCUUCACCAAAGUACAAGAGGUCCCAACUCUGCUGGAGUAGCUGCAGCCCUUCAGUGCCUCAGCCUUAUGCUCCUGAUUGGCCAUGGGUGUAAUUACUGAACACAACAAACCAAAGAGCUCACUUCUCUGAGUUUUAUUCUCACUCUGGUCAGGUUUCCUGUGGCAGCCUGUAGCUGGAGGUGGCCUAUGCAGAAUUAGCUACUCUAAUGUAGUUCCAACCUCUCACUGUGAAUGCGAGCACACAGCUGAAGAAAGGAUUGCCACAAAGGGUUAGGAAGAAAGGAAAAGGAGAUUAAUGCUCAUCCCCUCGAUCUGAUCCUACUCCCUUUGAAACUUUCAGCAAAGCAGAUUAAGGCUGUAAGCUUCACCAGGCAGGGGGUGUUACUCACCACUGCGUUUUGGAAAGUCAAACAACAACCGAACCCUGAUCCUGACCUCCAUGCCUCGCAGAGAUAAAUUAAUAAUUAAAAAUAAUGCUAACGAUAACAUUAAUGAUGAGGUUUGUGCUGCUAAAUGGGGAGUUUUCUCCAGCAGCAGUAUUUUCCUCUGUGACUGGCAGCUCAUUUGCUGCUAUUGAUGCUCUGAAGCAUGAUGAGGAGUAGCUGGGUGAGUAUUUCUCUAACCAAGCACUUUGGGUCAAAUGCAGAGUGAUCUCAUGCAGUAUCUCACAUGGCUGGCCUGAAAUGUCAAGCCCUGCACUUGGAGCGAGGGGCGAGCAGGUCAGGUCAUGUCUGGUUGUAAAAGGAUUGUUUGUGCCACACUCCAUCCAUGGCCUUGUGUUGGGAGGACCCAAACAAUCCUUCCCUUCAUUCUCCAGCAGAAUGGUAUUUUCGGGAAGACAAGGGGCUGGCAUUAACUUCCUUGCAUCUGAUGAUGUUUUUUUUCCUAAUAUGUUUCUUUUGAAACUCACCCUAUUCCAUAGCUGCAAGUCCAGACCCAUAUCUGCACCGAAGGAACAGAAGAAUCCUUAGGUCUUCCCUUUGCCUGUGUCAGUUUUGCAAUUCAGCUCCAUCAGGACAGCCACAUGAGUUUUACUCUGUAAGGAAACUCCUGCACGGUGCAGAUUGCUGGGGCCAUUCAGAUCCACAUGUUGCUUCUGUGCCUAACACAGCCAUGACUCACUCAGAGGGUGGUGACACACUGAACAGGUUGCCCGAGGAAGUUGUGGAUGCCCCAUCCCUGAAGGCAUUCGAGGCCAGGCUGGAUGUGGCUCUGGGCAGCCUGGUCUGGUGGUUGGUGACCCUGCACAUAGCAGGGGGUUGAAACCGGAUGAUCAUUGUGGUCCUUUUCAACCUUCAACUUUUGCAACCUCUAUGCAAGGGAGAGAGGUGGUAAUAGCAUGUAUGAUCACCUCCAAUAGAUGCCAGCAGUUAUUUCUAUCCAUAGAGAAACAAGGAGCCAGAAUUUGCAAAAUAGGUGCUUUGUACUGAUUGUCCCUCUCUUGACCUUCCAUAGCGUGGUACUCACAGCAACGUCUCCAUUAGCAAUAUUCACCCUCAGCUCCCAUUAUAGUCAAUGGCACUUGCAUGACAUGAUCAAUCUCACCAAAAUUAGCCAAACCAAACCACCCCCUGGGAGUGCUGAUUUCUUACUGAUGUCUGCCAGGUGAGCCAGAAUCGACCAGCUCAGGUGGAAGCCAUUGCAGCUUGCAUGUCUCAGGCUGUGGGGAUGAUCCCUACUCCCUACAAGGGUAGACUUCAAAUCCCUGGAAAUAAUAUAAGUACAUGAAACCAAUGGGGGCUGGAACUCACUAUAACAACUUCUCUGAUCUGGAGAGGAAACCAUUGAUUUCCCAGUUUCCUGGUAUGGAGACAUCUCUUCUUCAGUGUUGUCCUGUCAGAGGUCAUCUAAGAUUGGGGAUUUAUAGGGAAAAUUGCAACAUGGUUGACCUUGACUCUACAAUGGAGGAAACAAUAUCGAAUCUCUGUCCUUCUCCUCAUUUUUUAGCCCUAUUCUGAUGUUUUUCUUGAGACAGCAUGCUGUUGAGGGACCUCAUCAUUUUUAAUUUUUCUUUUCCCCUUCAUCAAGCCAACCAUUCUAUUAUAAAAUGGUGGUUCCAUUUCUUAAUCUUCCUAUUUUCUUCUCAGUGUGUGUUUGCUAAUCAAUUUCACAAGCUGCUGCGUGAAGAGUGGGAAGAAGGGCUGCUCUCCUCCUUCUUUUGGACCUUUUCCCAGAAACUAGACCAAGCCAGUUUUCUCUCUGGUAGCCUGUAGCUCAUGUUAGAUCCCCAUGUACAUGGACAGAAGGGGCUACUGAGGUUGGGGCCUUGUAGCUGAGAAGCCACCACCUCUAGUCUCUCCUUUCGUCAUCAUAUAGGAACAGGUUGCCCAGGGAAGCGGUGGAGUUACCUUCCCUGGAGGUUUUCAAGAGGAGAGUAGAUGUUGCAUUGAGUGUCGUGGUUAGUGGGCAUGGUGGGGAUGGGCUGAUGAUUGGCUUAGGCGAUCUUAGUGGUCUUUCCAACCAUAAUGAUUCUAUUAUCCUUAGGAUGGAUGAGGAGACUUCAUCCAGCAAUUUCCAGCGCACCAUGAUGAAUGGCUGGAGGGUAGCAGGUGACGUCUCAGAGAACAUCUCAAAGGAAAGGACAAAGAUUGAAGCAACUGAACUGCUGUAAGGGCAUAGCUUUUGUCUCCAACUCCACAUGAGUUGCGAGAAGCUCAUAAAUAGAUGAGCAACUCGUAUGCAUUGAGCAACUCAUGUGUAUGUCACUGAAGCUGGAAAUGUUCAAGGAACAUUUAGAUGUUGUGUUGAGGGAUGUGGUUUAGUGAGAACUCUUGGUGAUGGGUGGAUGGUUGGACUGGAUGGUCUUGUAGGUCUUUUCCCACCUUGGCAAUUCUAUGAUUCUAUGAUUGCUACAGCUCAGCGCAGUCUGGAAGUGCUGGAACUCCUUUUCAGCUGCUGGAGCUGAGAUCUCUAAAGGUGCUCAGGUGCCUAAAGAUGCUGACAUGCUUACUAGGCUUUGCAGAAGUGCUCAUUUUUUAAAGUCCUUAUAGUUAUCUCUCUUCAGACUCCAAAGUGGCUCCAGAAAGCUGCUCUGGAAAGUCUACAGAUACAUGAACAAUGUUUUAAUCCUCUGACCAGAGAAAAAUCUCUGUCCUUCCAGCCACCUGGUGCACAGCAGUUCAUAUGCACACCGCUGAGGCACACCACCCUGGAAUGAUUCCUUUCCUCUAAGCCCGUCUAGCCAGCAUGUCAUUAUUAUUUUUGAGUGAUCAUGUGUUUUGAGAUCAAAGGACUUAAAAUAAAGCAAUAGCUGUGUUGCAGCCAGCCUCACUGCGUGGUUCUGAAAGUGUAUACGUGUUGUCUGCCUUGUUGGGAAAGCACAGGAAUAAAGAGAGUUCAGAGGAUACAAAUCAGGUUGCUCAGAGAAGCUGUGGAUGCCCCAUCCCUGGAGGUGCCCAAGGCCAUGAUGAGUGUGGCCCUGGGCAACCUGAGCUGGUGGGCAGCAACCAGCCCACAGGAGGGAGGUUGAAACCCUAUGAUCUUUAAGAUCCUUUCAUGGGCUAAAACAUGCCCAGAACACUAAUCCAGAGUUUCCUCACUCCUAAAAGGAGUUGAGGAUGGACCAUAUAUUGUACGAUCAAGGGACCAAACAGCAGAGAAUUCACUCACUGGGCAGUACAGAAGUAACAUACAACUCAGAUCCACAGAAAGACCCACAGGGAGCUGAACACGUCAGAGCAGCUUCUCCCUCAGCACUGCAGGUAGGAUUUCCUGAAAGACUCACCGACUUUCUGCACCUGCUCCCCUUGGCAUCAAUAAGAGGAGGAGGGGAAAGAAGGGAACUGCUAUUGAUUGUGAAAAUGCAAUUCAGCGGAUGCUUCAAGAAAUCAGAAUCUUAGAAUCAGAGAAUAUUCUGAGUUGGAAGAGACCCACAAUGACCAUCAAGUCCAACCCCUGACUCCACACAGCAGCACCUAAACCCUAUGUCUGAGAGUGAUGUCCCUGUGCCCAUUGCCUUGGGCAGCCUGCUCCUCUGGUGGGGGCCUAUCCCUCCAAUUAAUCCUCCUUCCUCCAUUCUCUGCUUCAAGGAAGUGUCCAGCCAAACCUUCGUGAUUCACGCUAUAAAGAGAUCAAAUCAUGUCAGUACUUCUAUGUUUUGCUGCUGAAAAGGAAGAUUAUCUUUCCUGCCUCUGACAAAAGACCACUAAAAGCAAUUUGCAGACAAUACCCUAGUUAAGAACAAUAAGCCAAGCGUAUGUCAUUAGUAACCAGACAAGUUCAAAGGCAUUUGUACUCCUGCCUGGGUACUCCAGUCACUCUGCUCUGUACUGUGAAAAGCACUACAUGUACUUCCUGAGAGCUCUUCUCCAUCAAACUACCAAUAGAAUGAACCUUUUGUGCAUUUUUGUAUAACAAGAAAUGGGCUUGCAAUUUUUCUUCACGGGUUUAAGUAUUGGGGAGUUUUCUUCCCUGGGAUAAAGUGGUGACAUGCUUGGCCACCCAAUACUCACCAAACAAUGGGGAUAAAUAAAAUAUAUUCAAGAAAGGGGUAUUUAUUAUUAUUAUUAUUACUAUUAUAGCUAUCCAACCAAUCUAAGGAAAAAUAUUUCACAGUAAGGGUGGUGAGGCACUGGUACAGGUUGCCCAGAGAGGUGGUGGGUGCCCCAUUCUUGGAGACAUCCAAGGUCAGGCUGGAGGGGCUCUGAGCACUGAUGGAGCUGUGGGUGUCCCUGUUCAUUGCAGGCAGUGGGGCCAGAUGGUCUUUAAGGGUCCCUUCCAACUCAAACCAAUCUGUGAUAUGCCAUGAAUCCAACCACUGAGUGAAAACAGUACUUUGUGAGAGAAGUGCCAAACAAUGCCAAACAGAUACUGGAGGAUGGUAGCCCUCCUGCUUGCAGCAGUGCUCUGAUGGCUCAGCAGAUGCCAAGCAGCUGGUGCUGCCUACUGGCCUGUGCAAGGGUUCAUGCAUAUCAGUUGUCCCCAUUCAUAUAUGUUUAUGACAGAUGCCCAUCCACUGGACCCUACCAGUCCAAGACAGUGACACUCAAUAACUGCAUCUCUGUCUCUAGGUUUCCAAACAGACAAAAAGCUUUACACAGGCAAGUGGAACGAAACCUUAGGCUUCUCAGAAGCACACUUAUGGACUGUGAAGAAAAUUUUGGCGAUGAGUUUUUCACCCGUGGGACAACAUCCUAUGCAUCAUAGCAAGAAUACAUCGGGGAAAGUGCACACCUGGAAGAGCUCACAGUCUGAAGGGAUUGGAUAGAAACCUCACAUCUGAUGUUGUGCCUGGUUUUUAAAGCAGUUUUGAACACUGGGUAUCAAAAUAUGUUCCCUGCUCUGAAGUUUAAGCAACCUGCUCCUCACGCUUCAAUAGCAAGCUGCACUCAAGAGGACAUUUGCUGCCCACUCCUAUGGAUGACAAAACACAAUUUAUGGGAUGUGUUGUACAGAAAGGAGGCAGCCUUUGCCUCAAGGUGUAGGUAGCAGAUUGACCAAAGCUAGAGGUCAAUAGGCCAAUAUUUGACCAGGCAUGGCUCCUCCUUGCAUCCCGUUUGGGAGCCUUUCUGCAAGCAGAGAGCAGAGAUUGAGAAAUCAGCAAGAUUGGUCACCCUUCCCUUCAUUGCUUAAAUUAUUUACUUUACCGUUUUCUCUUCUCCUGGCAGCUGAUUUGUCAAAGCAAGUGAAGCAGCUAGAAAGAGAGUUGUGGCUGCAGCAGGAAUAUUACAGCAAUUAGAAAGGGCCAUAAACAGUUCUCUACAUAUGAAACUGCUCAUUGAAUUUGACAAGCAGCCUUUUCUUCUUCUCCCCGCCACCAAAUACAAUGCAGCCUCUUUCCCUUUCAUAAAUGCCAGCACUUUUUCUUUCGGUUCCCACCAAGGGUCCCUCACACUCAACACUCAGAUCAAUACAUUUGCGGACUGAAAGGGACCUUUCUCCUCAACACUCAGCCUCUCGCGGACAGAAUUAAGGCUGAUUGAGUAUGUCACAGUCCGACUGCAAUUUAGAGAGGCAUCGUGCAACCGUGCUGUCCUGGCACCGGUCCAGCUGUCAGAUUUAAUAGAAAAGUAGAGCAGCUUCAUCUGCCCCAAACGGCACGCUGCUCUCUGCAGCCACUGAUUUAGGCUUCCUACACGUUACGGUCUGUCACUUGGAAGUGAUGGAUGAGGUACCAGUGGAUGUCUCUUGCUCACUCCCGGUAGCGAUAAGCAAGUAGCAGGUACGUCAGGAGAAGAGCUGAAGGGAUUAUCUUGGGCUUAUUUUGUGUUUGCCAAUACUGAAGGCGGAGAACAUGCUGCCAGAGCAGGAUGUUAUAAAUUAUAUUGUGCUAUAGCAGGUAGGGCUGAAACAUGGUGGCAAUGGGUUGAUGGUUGGACUUGGUGAUCUUAGUGGUCUUUUCCAACCUUAAUGAUUGUGUGAACCUGUUGAGGCUUCUCCAACCUCCAUAAUCAUGGGGGGAGACCUCUACAGAGCUCCCUUCCACUUACAUAGUGUCUAAGGGUUGAACUCUUGCCAUAUGUUAGAAAUUAGGACCAAAGGAGGUCUUGUUGACCUCCUGUCCUGCCAUGAGAUAGAAUUGCCUGUGCUACUUUGCACAACACUGGGUCAUUCAGGUUAAUAUUUCCCCUGGAGAGAAGCAGCAUGAGUCAGAGUACCCACUUGGAAAGGAGAGAUUGGGGUGAUUUGGAGUGGAAUGAUGGAGGGCCUUAUGACAAACUGCUCUGUAAUUACGUUGGCAAAGAUCUUCUGCCAACAAGGAGCAGAGCAGCACCUAGGUGGAUACAGGUGGCUUUGCAUUUCCUGGGUACCUCAAUUUGCUUUGUUUCUGCUCCAGAAGGAUGCUGAUUAACUGUGGGUGGUUCAGGGAAGAGCCGCCUGAACAGCUGAAGGUUUGGGGAUGGGGAUGACAGGAGCAGGGGGAGGCAGAUGAUGCCUGGUGUUACUGAGAAAAGGUUAAGGGGUAAUUUAUCAUUGUCUGUAAGUACCUGCUUGGGAGCAGUAAUUUGAGAUGAGAGCUCUUGAGUCUGUAUCACAAAAGGAUAACUGGAACUGUUGGCUGUGUGUUGGUGUGAGGUGCAUUUUCUGAGACACAGGCACAGCAAAAGGAGUGGGUGGGGGAAAGGCAUCACAGCUGUCAACAGGUGCUCCAGCCCUCCACCUCCAAUGGUUGCAGUCCCCUCUUUCCUUAACUCGGGAAUCCUGCACCUAUUUGCAAAUGACAAGGCUGAUGCAAGCAGAGUAGAAUAGGGUAUUUACCUCCUUCUGCCUAAAAAUCCCAACGUUGCCUUUGCCUUGCAAGAUGGAACAGAACCACUUACAAUCCCAGAUUUUCUACAGCCUGUUAAUCCCAAGAGAUGCAGACAUGUCAGACUUCUUGGCUUCAGGGAUUUCAACCCAAAGGAUAAUUAUGAAAAAACUCCCAAAUUGAUAUGCUUGAUCUUAAGAUUGUUACCACAGCCCCAAUAAUUUUGUUGGAAGUCCCAACCCCACUGAUUAAAUCACGUUCUUAAGCUGCAAUUCUCCACCUAUCUACAGUCAUUCUGUAUUUUGACACAGCAACCCCAGUGAUUUCCUACAACCAUAUCUCCCAUAACAUGCCUGGUUAUUAAUUCUCAGGAUGCAUCACACAGCUUCAGCAGUGAAAAGAUGCCCUCUGCAUUAUGGAAGAUAAAGUUCUUCAGGAAACUCAGCUCAGAAUGCAGCUUGGAGCUGGGAGGUCCCAGUUUGCAGUGUCCACAUGAGAAAAGACUGCCACUUAAUUCUGAAAUCACAAUGUAUUCAAAGUCAUUACGUGCUAUCAAAAAUAUAAGGGAUUACCAGAUGCAAAAUGAGGCAUUUAAUUCUCAUGUCAUCUAAAUCAGAAAUUUUCCCCCAUCACAUUUAAAUGGUGUGAUGAAGCCCUUAUGGGAAACCUGUUUGGCUGAAAAGUCCAUGGCCAGUUUCACAGAUCAACUACUCAGUACAAACCAUGGUGACUUUUCCUCAGCUGGAUGCCAUUAAACAGAGAUCAGUUCCAUUUGCUUUGUUGAAAGAAAGAAAAAAAAAAUAGAGAAAAAUAAAAGCUCUUUUUAGCUCCAACUCUGUGUCUAGCUUUGAGGAGCCUUGUCUUCAGAUAGUUGGAUAGACCAUGGCUGUCUAUGACAAGGACAGGACAGGAGCUUGCACCAGGAGGAGGCUGUGCUGCCACAGCAUUCAGCUCUGCAAGCCCAAACGUUGUGGCUGCCAACGUUCAGGUGAACAAUGCAAUUUACAUCCAAACACUGCUCCUGGGCAGCAGAAUGCAACCAGUCAACCAGAGCAAGGGCUGAUUAUGGGAAACAUCUGGGGUGAAAUGGGAAUUCCCCAUUCUCUAGUCAUUCCCUGGACUAUUUUAGGACAGCUUCUUCAUAAAAUGGAAGUGCAGUCUUCUCCAGAGCCCCACCUGUAUAACCAAGGGCAGGUUGGGCCAGAGGAAUGAAAUAAAUGAGCUUUUUAAUGGGCUUUAAUCACAAAUUGUCCUUCAGGGCUUGAUAGAGGUUUCUGCCACAUCAAAGAGAAAUCUCCUGUCCAUUUCAAGGGGAGAAGAAGCAAACUUGUGAACAGCACAUCAGAAUUAAACCUUGUAAAAGAUCACUGCACAUAGUAAAUGCACUGGUAGUGCUCAGGAGAAGGGAGAGAGCAACUGCUUGGCUGGUGAUUUAUCACACCUUUUGGACCCCCAAACUCUUUUGCAUUUUGACUUCAGAUGGGCUAUAGAAAAACAUGUCUAUAAUGUCUGUGUCCAACUAUCCACUCUUAAUGACCCAGUGGAACACCCAAAACAGGCAGAGCUUUGCCUGUUUCAACAUGAGAGUCCAUCUUCCAAAACAAGAGCUGCAGAGACUAUGUCUGGAUCAGGAGAUAGGGGCUCAUCUUUCCUUCUGCAGUCAUUUGGUGACUACAGCACAUGCCUGAGCGCUAGGAAAUGGUCAGUGAGCAAUGCCUAUCUCUUUUGCCUGUAAUAAUGUAAGCCUGCUUGUCCCUCAUAAGUACUUUGAGGACAUGAUAAUGGGAUAUUCAAACACAGGGAGCUCACUGUUGCUGCCAAUGGGACUUCCCCACUUUAUCAUGGAAGAUGGGAAAGAGUGACUACAGAUUGCACUUUCCUCCUUGCCGUCAUAUCAGGCUUCUGCUCUGCUUCCCCAGCUGGUUAAUACACUGCUUCUUAACUACAUCUCUUCAGAAAUGUCAGUCCAGAUGAUGUCAGAGCUGAAAGAUGACCUCUCAAGCCCUGGCCUGGGAGAGUAUUGGCUCCCUUCCUUAAAUCCACAUUGUACAGGGACUCUACGAGGAAGUCUGAACAGAUCUGUGGCCUUUAGCAGGGCAUGAGAAAGGGAGACUGCUCAGAUGGGAGAAGGACUUAUGGGCAGACAAUGAGGAUUUUUCAUGAUGUGACAUUUUAUUUGCUCUGAUAUGUUGACAUGAGUCCUGUGAGUCAUCAGGAGAGCUGACUUCUGGAUUCUCAGUUCUUAGCUCCUCUUUUGUCUACAGGGCUUGCUUCUUUCCGGGCCUUAGCACUAAUGAAAUUAAAAUCUUUUGCUUCUGAAAGAAUUAUGGGUCUGGCUCAUGCCAAAAUAUUAAUUCUGUGGGAGAAAGGGGCAAUGUAAGCAUCUGAUGGGUGUGUGAGAUGGAUGAGAAAAAACAGAGGAAAAUUUUGUCUUAGUGUCAGGCUCUGCAAUUUUUAUUUUUUGGAGUUAGCUUCAUUUAAGACUAACUGAGCAUCAUAGGCAGUCAAUGGCUUAACAGAUAUCUGUGCCAAAGAACACAUUAUCUGCAAGUGAAAUAUCGUAACGGGUCUAUGUGAUGGAAAGCACUAGAAGGACAAGUUAUAAAUAC
rnacentral:lncRNA from 1 species